UACGUAGGUGGCAAGCGUUGUCCGGAUUUACUGGGCGUAAAGAGCGCGCAGGCGGCCAAGUGAGUCGAAUGUGAAAGCCCCCGUCUUAACUGGGGAGGGUCAUUCGAUACUGCUCGGCUCGAAGACAGGAGAGGGAAGCGGAAUUCCCGGUGUAGUGGUGAAAUGCGUAGAUAUCGGGAGGAACACCAGUGGCGAAGGCGGCUUUCUGGCCUGUUCUUGACGCUGAGGCGCGAAAGCUAGGGGAGCAAACGGG
rnacentral:rRNA from 1 species